rnacentral:rRNA from 1 species
ACUCCUACGGGAGGCAGCAGUGGGGAAUAUUGGACAAUGGGGGCAACCCGUGCAUCCAGCCAUGCCGCGUGAGUGAAGAAGGCCCUAGGGUCGUAAAGCUCUUUCAACUGUGAAGAUAAUGACGGUAGCAGUAGAAGAAACCCCGCUAGCUACCCGUGCCAGCAGCCGCGGUAAUACGGAGGGGGUUAGCGUUGUUCGGAAUUACUGGGCGUAAAGCGCACGUAGGCGGACUAUUAAGUUAGAGGUGAAAUCCCAGGGCUCAACCCUGGAACUGCCUUUAAUACUGGUAGUCUUGAGUUCGAGAGAGGUGAGUGGAAUUCCGAGUGUAGAGGUGAAAUUCGUAGAUAUUCGGAGGAACACCAGUGGCGAAGGCGGCUCACUGGCUCGAUACUGACGCUGAGGUGCGAAAGUGUGGGGAGCAAACAGGAUUAGAUACCCUGGUAGGCUCUGC